rnacentral:rRNA from 1 species
GACUGAGGGGGGCUGCUCCUAGUACGAGAGGACCGGAGUGGACGCAUCACUGGUGUUCGGGUUGUCAUGCCAAUGGCACUGCCCGGUAGCUAAAUGCGGAAGAGAUAAGUGCUGAAAGCAUCUAAGCACGAAACUUGCCCCGAGAUGAGUCUUCCCUGAGACUUAGAGUCUCCUGAAGGAACGUUAAAGACGAUGACGUUGAUAGGCCGGGUGUGUAAGCGCAGCGAUGCGUUGAGCUAACCGGUACUAAUGAACCGUGAGGCUUAACCUUACAACGCCGAAGCUGUU